UAAGACUUAUAAGAAACUAACCUAUAUCUUCUGAAUGCAACUCAAACACUUUCAUUAAGCUAAAGCCUUA
rnacentral:tRNA from 1 species